UACGUAGGGGGCAAGCGUUGUCCGGAAUCAUUGGGCGUAAAGAGCGCGUAGGCGGCCCUGUAAGUCCGCUGUGAAAGUCAAGGGCUCAACCCUUGAAUGCCGGUGGAUACUGCAGGGCUAGAGUCCGGAAGAGGCGAGUGGAAUUCCUGGUGUAGCGGCGAAAUGCGCAGAUAUCAGGAGGAACACCGAUGGCGAAGGCAGCUCGCUGGGACGGGUACUGACGCUGAGGCGCGAAAGCGUGGGGAGCAAACAGG
rnacentral:rRNA from 1 species